rnacentral:rRNA from 1 species
UUCGCAGGCGGCGUAUUAAGUCAGUGGUGAAAUCCCUCGGCUCAACCGAGGAACUGCCAUUGAUACUGGUAUGCUAGAGUAUAGUUGGCGUAGGCGGAAUGUAUCAUGUAGCGGUGAAAUGCUUAGAUAUGAUACAGAACACCGAUCGCGAAGGCAGCUUACGAAACUAUAACUGACGCUCAGGAACGAAAGCGUGGGGAGCGAACAGGAUUAGAUACCCUGGUAGUCC